AAACAUGCAGCAAAAAUUGAUCAAUCAUGUAUACUUACCAUAUCAAUCAUGCAUACUUACCAUUUCAACCCCCCACUUAAUCUAUGAUUGUCUUCAAGCAUGUUUUAUAUGCAAUAAAGCACAGUAACCUAAACAAAAAGUAAAGAGAAAGGUUAAUAAUACUCCCCAUGUAUUUCUAACGAUGUUGUCAGCGUUGGGGUUUUUAUUUGGGUUAGGGAUGUUGAGUUUCAUUUGUAGGGAAAUAAAUUGUAGCACUUGGAACGGCGUGCCAAUGCCACCAUCAGUAUCUGAUUUUGGGAAAAUUAGCAACCUCCAUUACAUACUUGAAAAUAACACAUUAACCUGAUUAAAUAAUAAUCUAGUUAUUAUUCAUUUUAUUUUCAAUCCAAAUUAAACUGGAAUUCAAAAAUUUUAAUAUAUUAAAAAUAAAUUUGGGUUGCCUCCCAAAAAGCGCUUUUGUUUAAUAUUGUUAGCUCGACGACCUUAAAUGUUAUCUGUUCGACUCAUUGAGAAUUAGUUUUUCCAUCCCGUGCACUUGGAUGUUCUUGCAGAAAGGUUUUGACCUUUGCCCACUGUCCUUGAAGCACUUCCAGGAUUCCCCUAUCAUUAGUGGAUUAAGGCAUCUUUAAGCUUCUCUAUUCAAGUUUGUAUUUUCCUCUGUCACAAUCCUUGUAUGUUCUGAAAACGGUUUGAGCUCUAAUUUUGAGACUUUCAUGACAGCUUCAUGUAUUGAUUUUUUGAUUAUCGAUAAUUCCUCUUGCUUAACAUCGAGAUCUCCAUUCCUACAAGGCACGAUUUGUAACUUAUCACUGGGAUGUCCUAUAUCCUUAUAAACAUUAAACCUAACCACUUAUCUAUCCAUGAUGAGUGUUCCACUCUAAACAUCAACUUUCGUUCGCGUGGUACUUAAGAAUGGUUUUCUAAGAAGUCUGUCAGACCAAUUGGCCGAGUUGUCAUCCUCUAUGUUAAUAAUGUAGAAGUCUGUAGGAAAUAUCAAUUCGUUUACUUUAAUAAGAACGUUCUCCAGCACUCCUUUCGGAUGCACUACAGAUCUAUUUGCAAGUGGAAUAAUUACAUCUAUUUCCUUCAAAUGACCCGCAUUAAGUAGUUUAUAAAUUGACAAAGGCAUAACAUUAAUUGAUGCGUCUAAGUCACACAUGGCUUUUCUAAUAUUGUCACCACCUAUUUUGCAAGACAUGGAAAACAUGCAUUGGUCCUUACAUUUAGGUGGUAUUUUCCUUUGUAAAACGAUGAAGACAUUUUUUUCUACACUCACCUUUUCAUUGCCCAAGAGCUUCCUCUUACUUGUGCAUAAUUCUUUUAAGAAUCUUGCAUAUCGUGGAAUUUGCUUAAUCGCGUCAAGAAGAGGUAUGUUGAUUUCUACCUUUCGAAAGGUGUCAAAGAUCUCUUUCUCUUCUCACUCAUUGCAUUGGACAAGUCUUCCAGGAAAUGGAGGUGGUACUGUAAAUAAUUUUUGUGGUGCUGACUCCACUAGAGCCUUUGAAUCAAGUUUCUUCUCAUCUCAGCCAGCGUCGUGGGUACAACUCGUGCCAGGUAUGGGUUCCAAAACUUUUCCACUCCUCAAUGUCAUAGCACUUACAUUGUGUUGAAAUUAGGCUGAGUUGGGGACGACAGCUUACUUUGAGACUCCAAACGGCUAACCAUGAGUGCAAGCUUGCUCACUUGCUUAUCUAACUCCUGCAAAUGUAUUUCAAUUUUUUGCUGAAACUUCUCAGCACUAUUGGCUAGCCUUUCCACUAUGGCUUCCAAAGAUAACUUUAGGGCAGUAAUUGUUUAUUCAGAGGCAGCCUUUGGUCGUAAGGUUAAUUAAACUGAUGAUUCGACUCAUAACUUAGGUUUAGGUAAUCCUUCCACCCCACAUUAUAUGAGUUCUAGUAGGGGUCAUAUCACCUUUGGGGCGGUCCUGAAAAGUUCCCAACAAUAUUUGCUUGUUCUAUCGAAUCCUCAUAUAAAAUUAGACAUGAGACCGUCGGGUGGUUUGGCUUAGCGUAGAUUCUGCAUAACCUUGUUGGGCUAGUUUUAUCUAUAAGAAAAUCUUGAACAACGUUAGCCAGCUUAUCAAUUUUAUCUUUUACAAAUAGAGAACUUAGCCCAUAAACCCGUCUCGUAGGUUCUGUGGCCGAUCAGAAUUGUUGAGAGUUAGCAGUUAUUGUCGAAAUCAACUCUCGUGCUCUCUGAGGAGUCAUAUUAACUAAUACCCUUCCACUUGUAACAUCUAUCAUUUUCAUUUCCAUCAAGAGCAACCCUUCAUAGAAAUACUACAAUAGUGAUUAUUCAGUCAGUCUAUAUUGUGGGCAACUUGCACACAAAUUUUUGUACCGCUUCCAAUAAUCAUAGAGUGAUUCAGUCUCGUUCUGAUAGAUUCCUACAAUGUCUCUACUUAGUUCAGCCGCUCAAGCUGUAGCGAAGAACCUGUCAAAAACAAACGAGACAUGUCAAACCAUGUGUUGACAGAUCAUUGAGGUAAAUAAAAUAACCACUCUCUAACUGAGUCGUCUAAUGAGAAAGGAGAAGCACGAAGUUUAAUUUGGUCUUCGGUUACUCCCUAAGGCUUUAUGCUUGUGCAUAACAUAUGGAAAUAUUUGAUAUGGGUGUGUGAAUUUUUGUUCUGUAGUCUACGGAAGGUGGGUAGUAAAUGAAUCAAACCUGACUUCAACUCAAAUGACGUUCCUCCCACGGAAUAGGUUAUACAUAAGGGUUGUUGUUCAUCUGAUUCUGCUACGAGUUGGCGUAUAGUUUGUUCAACAUCUCGUUUAGUUCGUCGAAUGAGAAACUUUCCUUGUUGUAAGAUAUGGUUUCGAAUCCGGGAUUUGGUCGUUUAUCGCGUCGAAUGGCUUUUUUUCGUAGUUGUUGGGCCAAUUUCUCAAUUUUUGGUUUAAACUCUAGAGUUCUCGAUUUUGAUCUGGUCAUAAGGUAAACAAGAAAAUUAGAAAAACAUCUCCAAUCCCCUGUAACGGUGCCAAAAUUUGACGGUCGUCGAAACCACAAAAAAUAAUUCAUAUAAUUAAAAUAAAUCUAAAUAGUAGUAAAGAGUGGUAGUAGGGUCUAGUCCAUAGGGAUUGGUAUUAUAAUCAACUUUUGCGUUUAACCUGUGAUAAAAAAUUCCAUCGUGUCGAUAAUUAUGGCAAUAGUCAUGCCUACGACUCCAAACAGACCUGCUGAAAAAUAAACAAAUAAAUCAAGGAAGUUUUGAAAUGUUUAGAAAUUAAAUAAUUGAAACAACAUAAAUAAACAAUUAAAUAAAUUAAAAUAAAUUAAAUUGGGAAAUAAAUUCAGAUUUUGUAAAUAGAGAUAAUAAGCCUUAGCUCUAGACUCAGUGAAUUCCGGAUUUAGAAUCAAUCCUCGAAAAUUAAUUUUCUCCUCCAAACAAUAAGUUGGUAUAGUAGUUAAGAACAUCCUAACCGCUAAUUCUUCCUCUCGUAGUUGGUCCCGGUACGACCUGCAAACCAACCAUUACCAAUUAUCUAACCAAGAUACACGUGUUCUCGAUUCAAGAUUCCGACAGUCUUGUGCUCUAAAGAACCCAACUCGGAUUGACAGCCUCAACCGCGCAGGUCGCUUAAACUCGACCACUUCUCUCUUGAUUUGUUCUCGGAGAUCAGAAUACAACACGGUUGACUCGUUUCCCCAACUAUCUGCAAACAUGACUCCAACCUAACGCGCUUUUUGAUUUAAAAUCGAGUUAACUUUAAGGGAUAAAUUGUCAAUUCUGAUACUUAGGAAAAAUGUGACUACCGAUUGGAAGAAUUUUUAGUAUGGAUGUGUUUCUCACAAUUCUUGACCAGAAAGAAUACCCGCCUAAAGCCAAGUUAGAAUUUAGUGAAGCAUGAUUUUAUUCAUGCUUUGGUUGGCUAUGAGUGGAUUUGAAUGAAAAUGGUAGAAAUUAGGAAAGCAAGGGGCUUGGAAAGUAAUUAAACAAAUUUUGCAAAAAACAAUGAAAUGAAAAUGGAAUUGCAGUAGCUAUUGACACACAAAUUUGGAAAGAAAAUAAAAUAAUUCUUAUUUAAUCCAAGUGAAAUCAAGUGUCUCCUUAAGCUUCCAUUAAGUCCCCUAUUUUUAUACAUAGGAUUUACUAAAUUUGGCCUAACUACCCACUACAUAAUUAAAAUUAAAUAAAAAAUAAAAUCAAUUUUUUUUUCUAAUUUUAGGUUUUACAAAGUCAAAAGAAAUUUGAUGAGUCCUUGACUAUCUCCACGUUUUUUAUUCGGCCCCACUUUAUUGACUGUGCUGCAAAUUAGUCAUUUUCUGCUCUUUUUUAACUCAUAGCAUCCCAAUUGCACUCCUGAUAGGACUAAAGUAUAAAAUCACUAAUUUAGCAGGGAUCAAUUCAAGAAUUAACCAAUUUAAACAUAAAAAAUAUUUAAAUUUAACAUGUUAUCACUUAGUAAUAAUUUGAAGAGUUAGAUGGAAUUAACGACGUAUUAACAUCAAAUGUUGAACAAUUCUCAAAAGUACAUUUCUACUAAAUAGAAAAUGCCAAUAGUUAAUUGACAAAUUUUGUUCUGCAACUAUACCAAACUAGAAUAAAUAUAGUAAAUUAAUAAAUUUUAAUAAAAACUAUCAUCAAUAAUAAUUUGACUAAGAUUUUUAAAUCAGAAAGAUAAAAACUUUAAUUUUUUUAAACAUAGAAAUUAAUAGCAUGUUUGAAAAGAAAUGAGACAUUGAAAUUUUCUUAUUUUCCAUGAUUAUUAAGGCUAUAAAGGGGUAUGGUCAUCUCAAUCAAAACUCCACCUUGCAUUUCCCUAGAUUUAAGUGAUAGUGUAGAAGCAAGAUUGUUGAUCAUUUCCAGGUGGGGAUAAUUACAAAGUUAGAUUCACUUUCUAUAACAUUCAUUCUUCAUCAAAAGGUUAAAAAACUAAUGCACCAGUUCAUCAAUGUUCCAUUUAAAAGAAGAGAUAAAGAACAAGCUAUUACUCUAUCAAACCCAACAGUCAACCUUAAAAACCACCACGAAACAAAGCUAGACGGAUGGGCAACCAACCCAAAUCUCUCUCCAUUUCUAGUAAUCGAAAUAGAUAUAAACUUGAGUUCGUUCCCAGUUUCCAUUGAAAAAGAAAACCUCACAGAAGAAAAAAAGAUACAAAAUUUGUUCAUUAAGCUGUGAAAAUAAAUUCCUAAAGUGAAAAUAAAAUUCCUAGUUUCCAUUCGAAUUAGGUACAGUUCAGGUGACCAAACAAAAGGAUACUAAAACAUAAUCAAAACACAAAAUUUUCCUUCAUUUUCUUGGUGACCAAACAAAAAGAAGAAAGUGAAAAGGAGAUUUCUUACAUGAGUCGGUUGAGGAAGUUAGGUAGGCGCCGACGACAGAGGAAGCAGGUGAGAGGUGGAGAUGAAGGAGGUGAGUGGAGCCGACUUAGGGAUUUUGGUUUUGGAAUUGGGAAUAAGGGGGAGGAGGGCACAAAACUAAAACUAAAAGUAAAG
rnacentral:lncRNA from 1 species